rnacentral:lncRNA from 1 species
AACUAAAUUCAACUUUCAACUCCAAAUACGACUAAUAAACAUUUUAUUUGACCGAAAUACACCGUUUCGUUUUAUUAUUUUUUUUAACAAAAUGAAUAAAUAAACACAGACACAUAAAGCUAAGAGACCAACCUCACCCCACCUUCAUUUUCCCCUUUAACUCUUUCUCUCUCGGCGAUAACACUAUACCCCAUUAUCUCAGCCCUUUUUUUUUACCCAUACCUCACCCAUCACUCUCUAUUCUCUACUCUCUCUUCAUUCAUUCAUAUUUCAAUAAUUCUAAUUUUCACCUUCACUCAUGACUCUACUCAACAUUCACCUAGAAACCCUAGUCACCACUGUCUUCGUCGCACAGUUGAAAAUCCUUCACCCAUCGUUUCUGUUUUGAUUUGAAUCAUAGUCACUUCUAUCUUUGUAGCUGUCACUACCAUUUAUCGUCACUAAGAACGAAAAUGUUAGUAUUUAUUGUAUAAUGUUUCUGAUUUUCUUUUGCAUUUUAUGAGUUUUUUUUACAUUUUAAAGUUGUUGAGGUUUUCUUUUGUUCUUGGUUUGAUUUUUGAAUCUAUUUUGGGUUUCUGAUUUUGUUUUGUGUUUUAUGAUUUUUCUCACAUUUUAAUUUUUGUUGAAGUUUUGUUUUAGUUAUGGGUUUGAUUUUUGAAUUUGUUGUGGGUCUUUUUAGGGUUGUUGUUAAUGGUCUUUUAAGGUUUUUUUAUAAUUUUUUUAUGGUUAAUAUUUAUUGUAUAAUGGGUCGGUUUCUGAUUUUGUUUUUGAUUUUAUGUUUUUUUGAUUUUUGUGACAUUUUAAACUUGUUGAAUUUUGUUUUUGUUCAUGGUUUGAUUUUUGAAUUUGUUUUGGAUUUUUUAGGAUUUCAUUUUGGGGUCUUUUAUGGUUUUUUUUUUUGUUAAGUAGGAUUCAAUGUGUUUAACUUAGGGUUAUGGUUGUCUUUAAGGUUAUAUUUAAACAUAAUUUAUGAUUCUAUAACAUAACUAUUGUUUUUUUUAAAAUAUAUGGUAAUUAAUAAAUGUAUGUUUAUGCCUAAUUUUUAUUCUUAUUUUUUAUUUCAAUUUUUUUUUUUGUGAUGUAUGAUAUGUGUUUUCUACAUGCAUCAUUCUUUUUUUUUUUUUCUUUUUAGUUUAGUAUAUGCUUCUGUUUUUAUAUUAAUGCAUGAUUCUAAAUGUAAUAUAUUGUUGUUUUUUUUUUCUAGUUUAAUAUAUGCUUCUGUUUUUAUCUAAAUGUAAUGUAUUUUUUUUUUCUUUUUCUAAAUGCAUACUUUUGUUUUUUUAUCUCUCUAAAAUGUGUUGUAUGAUAAUUUCUUUUAUCAUCCUCUUCGUUUGGACUAAGUGCUUGAGACGAUGAAUGUUCAUCUUCUUCAAAUUUAUCCAUAUUUUCUAAAGAAAAAUGAUUUUCUUAGUUUAUGCAUUUCCAAGAAUAACUGUUAUUGUUGAUGAGCAAGAAUGAAUACAUGUUAUCAAAUCUUUGAACUUGUAUUUUAUGAAAAAAUUAGUGAAAUAUGGUUUCAAGCUUGUCUAUGUAUACUUUCAAUUUUUAGAAAAUUUUGAAUGAUUUUAAUAAAAAUUUAAAGUUUAUUAAGUAAAGGUUAAAGUCAUGAGUUAUAAUUUUUUUUUUAAGAUUUCAUGUUUCAUGAAUUAAAAUAUAAACUUAUUGAAAAAUAUAUAUUUUGAAAAGGAUGAAAAUAUUUCAAAGAGUUAGAACUUUGAAAAUAGAAAAAAAAUUCAUAGAUAUUUAUUUUUGUGAUUAUGUUGUUAUGAGGUAAAUUAUUUUAGUCUAAAAAAAAUGUAGUAGAUCAAACUUGUAGUUAUUUGAGGGAAAAAAAUGAAUUACGACAAAUUUGAAAAAAAAUUGUGGUUGUGUGAAAAAUUAUGAGAAAAAUAAUUUAAAAUGUUUCAAAUAAUUGUUAGUGAAUUCAAUGAAAAAUUUAAGGAUGUUAAUUUCUAAAAGUAUGUUUUAUAUGUUGAAAGUGUGUCGUGGAAUAAUUCUAUUAGUCCUUACUCGUUGUAAACUCUUUUAGUGAAAUAUACUCUAAUGGGUUAGGAGUAAGAAAGAGUUUGUAAGGUAGUUAAUGUAAGUCAUGAGCUUCCCUGAUCAUGUUUUUGAUUUAAUUCCCAAACAUACAAUACAUAUGAAGUAUUUGAUUGAUCUAAUGAUUUGAAUUGAGAAACAUUUCAGGCAAACAAGCAGACACUAUACACUUGGAACAAAAGCUUGGAACUCAAGGAAUCAACCAAAAUUGGAGGAUGUGCUUGAGAAAGAUGCAAAUAUGUAUAGUGUGAUUAGUUGUCAUAGUAGUUGUUUUAGUAGACUAAUCACUAUGAUUUCAUACUUAAGCAUUUGCCAAAGAAAGUAAAUCAAUCAACUAAUAAGUCAAUUGAUGAAUCAAUUGGGCAAUCGAUUGUCUGAUUGGGAAAUCGAUUACUUAAAGGUUCUUAGUGAAACCUGAGUUCUGGGCUUAAUCCAAUCUAUUGGACAAUCGAUUGGGACAUCAAUUGAGUAAUCGAUUGUGUGAUUCACAGUACCAACCUAUUACUGAAUCAAUUGAUUGGCAAAUCGAUUGUGACAAAGUUUUUCAUCAGGAAUAAGUUCUGUGAUCCAUCAAAUCGAUUGGGACAUCAAUUGAAUUAGAUUUCUUAAACUAC